UGCCAGCCGCCGCGGUAACACGAACCGGACAAACGUUAUUCGGAAUUAUUGGGCUUAAAGGGUGUGUAGGCGGACUACUAAGUCGGGUGUGAAAUCCCUCGGCCCAACCGAGGAACUGCGCCCGAUACUGGUAGUCUUGAGGACAGGAGGGGAGCGUGGAAUUCCUGGUGGAGCGGUGAAAUGCGUUGAUAUCAGGAGGAACACCGGCGGCGAAGGCGACGCUCUGGCCUGUUUCUGACGCUGAAAUGCGAAAGCUAGGGGAGCAAACGGGAUUAGAUA
rnacentral:rRNA from 1 species